rnacentral:rRNA from 1 species
UACGGAGGAUCCAAGCGUUAUCCGGAUUUAUUGGGUUUAAAGGGUGCGUAGGCGGCCUGUUAAGUCAGGGGUGAAAGACGGUAGCUCAACUAUCGCAGUGCCCUUGAUACUGAUGGGCUUGAAUGUACUAGAGGUAGGCGGAAUGUGACAAGUAGCGGUGAAAUGCAUAGAUAUGUCACAGAACACCAAUUGCGAAGGCAGCUUACUAUGGUGUGAUUGACGCUGAGGCACGAAAGCGUGGGGAUCAAACAGG